AUUGAACGCUGGCGGCGUGCUUAACACAUGCAAGUCGAACGAAGUGGCGAACGGGUGAGUAACGCGUAAUCAACCUGCCCUUCAGAGGGGGACAACAGUUGGAAAUGACUGCUAAUACCGCAUACUGAAGGAGGGGAUUGCGUCUGAUUAGCUAGUUGGGGGGGUAACGGCCAACCAGGGCGAUGAUCAGUAGCCGGUAUGAGAGGAUGAAAGGGCACAGUGGGACUGAGACACGGCCCAGACGCCUACGGGAGGCAGCAGUGGGGAAUCUUACGCAAUGGACGAAAGUCUUACGGAGCAACGCCGCGUGAGGGAGGACGGCCUUCGGGGUGUAAAGCUCUGUUAAGCGGGACGCGGUACCGGAAUAGAAAGCCACGGCUAACUACGUGCCAGCAGCCGCGGUAAUAC
rnacentral:rRNA from 1 species